ensembl:lncRNA
CCCCCCCAGCAUCCCCUGCAUCCAGGGGGGGGUAUAAGACCCUUGAGACCCCCACUCAAACCCCCAGCCUUAUCCCCCCCCCCCCAUGUCCCCUGCAUCAAGGUGGGGGGGGUCAGGGGGGUAUAAGACCCCUUGAGACCCCCACUCAUAUAUAGAGACUAUACACCCCCCCCCCGUGUUCCCUGCAUCAAUGGGGGGGGUUGGGGGGAUAUAAGACCCCCUUGAGACCCCCACUCAUAUAUAGAGACUAUACCCCCCCCAUCAUGUCCCCUGCAUCAAUGUGGGGGGGGGUUGGGGGGAUAUAGGACCCCCUUGAGACCCCCACUCAUAUAUAGAGACUAUACACCCCCCACACACAGCAAGGGGGGUGUUUGGGGUGGUAUAAGACCCUUGAGACCCCCACUCAUAUAUAGAGACUACACACCCCCCCCCCCAUGUCCCCUGCAUCAAUGGGGGGGGUUGGGGGGAUAUAGGACCCCCUUGAGACCCCCCCUCAUUAUACCCCCCCCCCAUGUCCCCUGCAUCAAUGUGUGGGGGGGGUCAGGGGGGUAUAAGACCCUUGAGACCCCCACUCAUAUAUAGAGACUAUACACCCCCCCCCCAUGUCCCCUGCACCAAGGGGGGGGGUUGGGGGGAUAUAGGACCCCCUUGAGACCCCCCCUCAUUAUACCCCCCCACCCAUGUCCCCUGCAUCAAUGUGGGGGCUGGGGGAUAUAGGACCCCCUUGAGACCCCCCCCAUAUAUACAGACUAUACCCCCCCCCCAGCAUCCCCUGCAUCCAGGGGGGGGUUGGGGGGAUAUAGGACCCCUUGAGACCCCCCCUCAUUAUACCCCCCCCCCAUGUCCCCUGCAUCAAUGGGGGGGUUGGGGGGAUAUAGGACCCCCUUGAGACCCCCCCUCAUUAUACCCCCCCACCCAUGUCCCCUGCAUCAAUGGGAGGGGUUGGGGGUGUAUAAGACCCCCAUGAGACCCCCACUCAUAUACAUAGACUAUACCCCCACACACAUGUCCCUUGCAUCAAUGGGGGGGUUGGGGGGGUAUAAGACCCCCUUGAGACCCCCCCCCAUAUAUACAGACUAUACCCCCCCACCCCUGUGUCCCCUGCAUCAAUGGGGGGGGUUGGGGGGGUAUAAGACCCCUUGAGACCCCCACUCAUAUAUAGAGACUAUACCCCCCCCACCCCUGUGUUCCCUGCAUCAAUGUGGGGGGUCAGGGGGGUAUAAGACCCCCUUGAGAAUCCCCUCAUAUAUACAGUUUAUACCCCCCCUCCCCAUGUCCCCUGCAUCAAUGGGGGGGGUUGGGGGGAUAUAGGACCCCCUUGAGACCCCCCCCUCAUAUAUACAGACUAUACCCCCCCCCACCCCUGUGUCCCCUGCAUCAAUGGGGGGGUAUAAGACCCUUGAGACCCCCACUCAUAUACAUAGAUUAUACCCCCCCCCAGCAUCCCCUGCAUCCAGGGGGGGGUUGGGGGGAUAUAGGACCCCCUUGAGACCCCCCCUCAUAUACACAGACCAGACCCCCUCCCCCCCAGUGCUGACCAUUGGCUGCCAGGCAGUAGGUGCGGCCCAGGAGGUGCAGGGGGGACGUGGGGCUGAAAUGGGUGCGGGGCCGCAGGGUCCAGCCUGGAGAGACCCCCCCCCAAAUUAAACAGCAUUAGAACCACAAUGGAAAACGAGCCCCCAUUAAUCCCCCAUAGCCCCAUAGGACCCCCAUUAACCCCCAUAGGAUCCCAUUAACCCCCCAUAGAGAACCCCAUUAACCCCAUAGGACCCUCAAUUAACCCCAUAGGACCCCAUAACCCCAUUAAGCCCCCAUUUAGCCCCC